rnacentral:misc_RNA from 1 species
ACCCYCCGUAUUUCUGGGGCCUGGGGGGGGCUCUGUCCUCCUGCCGGGUUUCUAUGUCUUUACACCCACACACUAUAAAAAUGUCUCAGGAAAUGUAUGUGGCGUUUAACGCAAUAAAAUACAACUUUCACCAACGGAUCUCUUGGCUCUCGCAUCGAUGAAGAACGCAGCGAAAUGCGAUAAGUAAUGUGAAUUGCAAAAUUCAGUGAAUCAUCGAAUCUUUGAACGCACCUUGCCCCCUUUGGCUAUUCCGAAGGGCAUGCCUGUUUGAGUAUCAUGAACACCUCAACUCUCGUGGUUUGCCAUGAUGAGCUUGGACUUUGGGGGUCUUGUUGGCCUGUGUGCCACUCCCUCUUAAAUGAAUUACCUUGCCGGUGUUUGGGGGCGCCAUGGGUGUGAUAAAUAUCUACGCUUGUGGUUUCCCACCACCUAACCUUC